AGGACGAACGCUGGCGGCGUGCUUAACACAUGCAAGUCGAGCGGAAAGGCCCUUCGGGGUACUCGAGCGGCGAACGGGUGAGUAACACGUGGGUAACCUGCCCUUAGCUCUGGGAUAGCUCCGGGAAACCGGGAUUAAUACCAGAUACGACCACUUUAGACAUCUUUAGUGGUGAAAAGAAUUUCGGCUAGGGAUGGGCUCGCGGCCUAUCAGCUUGUUGGUGAGGUAACGGCUCACCAAGGCGACGACGGGUA
rnacentral:rRNA from 1 species